GCUUCAUCUCUUAACCUCUCAAGAACCUGCUUGGCUCCUUUUAGUGACAGAACCAGCCCCUGAAAGCACUCUGACCUGAAGCCAGUUGCUGUUAAUGAGCUGAGAAGCAGGCAGGGGGGGAAAAAACCCUUUGGAAGGAAGGUACCAAUCUUAAACAGAAACAAAUGAGGCAUCAACAGCUCUGUUGAGGCGACCGUUCUUUCAGCUGGGAUGAUGCAACUGCUUUUGCAUCUGAAUUACCUGGAUUAAAGAACCGGUUUAGAAACUUACUCUCCCCCAGGUGUUUAAGGAAUCUGAAAAAGCAGUGAACAACAGGGGAUUAGACACAGACAUGGAAGAUUACAGUUCCACCUGUUCAGAUUCAGGGCAUGUGGAGAAAAGAAGGACAAUUAAUCACUUCGCUAUUAAAAAAACUGAACAGUACUUCAAUCAGAUGCACAAGGACAGCAAAAAGCUAACUGAAAGGAUAUUGGCUUUGGAAGAACAGUCUCUUCAGAAGCUCUCUUGCCUAGUUUCAUCAUGAACAUAGAAAUCUCCAAGGCUGUCCAAGGUUCAAGGAGGAUUAAUUUAAAACUAGGUCUCUUAGGGCCACUUCUAAUUCAAGCUGCUCCUAACAUGUGCAGAGCUGGAACUCCUAGAAGCACUUCCAGUUAUUUAAAUGGCGUUAAUACCUUUUUUUGAGGUGGAAGACUUGCAUCGAAUUUGGCUGUGAAGUGCCAUGCACAGUAUUUGAUAUUACAGACAUUCCAGGAAGGUUUACUUGUGGCCUUCUGUGUUUGUUCCAAGGGAAACAUACAUUGCAAGCCCAGUGACUGAUUUGUCUUUUGCUUUCACGGGGAUCAAGAUAA